GGCGUUUCGACGAAAAAUGAAGGUCUUCGGUAUACACUUGCUCUACCUGCUCUACUUCUUUCUACUGUACAUCGCGGCGACGAUGUGCAUGAGUAUUGGAAGUCCCGUGGCUGCAAUCGGCGGAAACCGUCAAGUGGCUUGUGGUGGUCGUGGUAGACCAUCUAAUAGCACUGGAUAACGAGAUAGAAAACAUGAAAGUAAGCUGAAGGCACAACAUAAGAAGUAUGGACCCGAGAAUUAUAGAGACGACCCUGAUGAAAUUUGGAACAUUUUUUUUCAAUCUCUACAUUGUAAUCAUAUGAUGUAUUAUUUAAAAUAUAAUACAUAAUAUUGC